GAGUUUGAUCAUGGCUCAGAUUGAACGCUGGCGGUAUGCUUAACACAUGCAAGUCGAACGGUAACAGGAGAGAGCUUGCUCUUUUGCUGACGAGUGGCGGACGGGUGAGUAAUGCGUAGGAAUCUGCCUAGUAGUGGGGGGACAAUGUGUGGAAACGCACGCUAAUACCGCAUACGCCCUACGGGGAAAGCGGGGGAUCUUCGGACCUCGCGCUAUUAGAUGAGCCUACGUUAGAUUAGCUAGUUGGUGGGUAAAGGCCUACCAAGGCGACGAUCUAUAGCUGGUCUGAGAGGAUGAUCAGCCACACUGGGACUGAGACACGGCCCAGACUCCUACGGGAGGCAGCAGUGGGGAAUAUUGGACAAUGGCGAAAGCCUGAUCCAGCAAUACCGCGUGUGUGAAGAAGGCCUGGAGGUUAGU
rnacentral:rRNA from 1 species